rnacentral:rRNA from 1 species
UACGGAGGAUCCAAGCGUUAUCCAGAUUUAUUGGGUUUAAAGGGUGCGUAGGCGGACCCGUAAGUCAGUGGUGAAAGUUUGCAGCUCAACUGUAAAAUUGCCAUUGAAACUGCGGAUCUUGAGUGUAAAUGAGGUAGGCGGAAUGUGUUGUGUAGCGGUGAAAUGCUUAGAUAUAACACAGAACACCAAUUGCGAAGGCAGCUUACUAGAAUACAACUGACGCUGAGGCACGAAAGCGUGGGGAUCAAACAGG